UCUCAAUAUGUUUUCUCUACUACACAUUCAUUUUCGUGUUUAUCCAAUAAUGAUGAAAAAACAGCACAAAUGUUGGAAAAAAGAGCAGAGGAGGUCACUGUUUACGAAACUUGGAGAGCCAAUCAACGCAAUCAGCGGCGGUGACAGCGAAGGAGCGGCGGUAAUUGGAAGAAUAAGUGAACAGAGGAAGUGAGUCGAUUACUGAAGGAGGUAGAUCAUCGGCGAGAUUCGGUUGUGUGAGGUGAUGAUUCAUAUGUUGGUGUUGGAUUGGGAGAGAUAGUGGCAGUUGACCCAUUAUCAUUCACUGGAUCUUGAUUUUUUCAAACCAUUUCCAUUUAUUUGUGUUGUUGCUGUUCAAACUUAGAUUGGAGAUAGUUUUAGCUUUGGUUGAUUGAAGGAGAUCUAUGGAUUUUGCAGAGAAAAAAGACGGGAGAGUGAAGAGAGAAGAAAACACUUUUUAUUCUAUUUUUAAAAAAGUAACAAUUAUUUAAGUGUUGUCAAAAUUCUACUGGAUGUGCCUAAAUAUUAUGUGUUAGGUAUGUGCUUAAGGAAGACUUUCUCAGCUUAGAGAUGAAGCCGGUGGCAUUUACAAUGCACAAAUUGUUAAAUUUGUGCAUGGAUGCACAACUUUAUAAGUUUAUUUUUGACCAUUAGAUCAAAUAAGGAAUAUAGUUUUUCUAUGGUCUAUCAACACUAGAUUUUUUCUCACACCCAAUCAAAUCCAAGUCCAACUCCAUCCUCUCUCUUUCCUCAUCUCCUUGUUUCCCGUAAAACCUUUAUCUCCUCACCCUCUCUUGUCUCCAGAAUCUCACAUCCCAUCCUAAGAAAAUCAACAGAAGCAAAACAAAACAGAGGUUGUUUUUAUUCAUGAAUCAUAGUUUUUUCUACUUGAAAUUAUCACAAAAAAAGUACUGCAAUUUAGAGUUUUUGUAGCUACUUAAUGAAUAAUCUGGACAUUACUUUUAAUCAAUUAAUUUUAUUUAUUAAAAACAUAAAAUAACUCAACUAAUUUAAACUGCAAACAUUCUGUAACAAAAAAAAAAACUGCAAACAUUCAUCAUCUUUCUUCUUCAUCUUUAAUCCAUCGAAAAGAACACAAAAGUCACUGCUUAAAAUUUUGACCAAAAUAAGGCACAAAUCAAAGAUUUCAAUCUCAAAACAUUUAACAACUGUUCAUGCCAAUUAAAUUCAUAUUCCUUUGGUUCUUUCGAACAGCAAAAAAUUUCAAUCUCAAAACUUUCUUUCUUCUUCAACUUUUUUUGUUGUUAAUGUUUGAGAUUGAAGAAAAAAAAAAGUGAAAAUCUAGUGGUGGAGGAGGAGGUAAUGCCGAUAGUGUCGAGGUUAGGAGGGUGGGAGACUGGGUGAUGGUGGUGGAGGGUCGGAUUGGGUGGUGGUGAUGGUGGAUGAGUUUGUGAUUUCAAUGGUGCAGAGGAAAGUUUGUUGUUGGUGGGUGGUGGGGGGAGAUGAGGAGCAAACGAUGUAGAGAGAGAGAAAGUGUGAGAGAACUGAUACCGAGAGAUCAUGAUAAAAGCGUGUUCUUCUUUUAAUCUAAUGGUCAAAAUAAAACUUGUGUAUGGUGCACAAAUUUAACAUUUGUGCAAUUUGUGCACCCUAAAUGCCACCGAUGAAGCCGGGUCCAGUUAGAAUAAAGACAUUGCGUUGGAAUUGAAACAUCCCACCGAACGAACGUUCCGCUCCAAAAAGUCUUCAUCUCCC
rnacentral:lncRNA from 1 species